rnacentral:rRNA from 1 species
CUCGUAGGCGGCCUGCCAAGUCUCACGUGAAAGACCAGGGCUCAACCCUGGGAACGCGAGAGAAACUGGCAAGCUGGAAUCUUGGAGGGGGUACUGGAAUUCCUGGUGUAGGGGUGAAAUCUGUUGAUAUCAGGAAGAACACCGGAGGCGAAGGCAAGUACCUGGCCAAAGAUUGACGCUGAUGAGCGAAAGCGUAGGGAGCGAACAGGAUUAGAUACCCUGGUAGUCC